rnacentral:rRNA from 1 species
AUGAACGCUGGCGGCGUGCCUAAUACAUGCAAGUCGAGCGAACAGAUAAGGAGCUUGCUCCUUUGACGUUAGCGGCGGACGGGUGAGUAACACGUGGGUAACCUACCUAUAAGACUGGGAUAACUUCGGGAAACCGGAGCUAAUACCGGAUAACAUUUGGAACCGCAUGGUUCUAAAGUGAAAGAUGGUUUUGCUAUCACUUAUAGAUGGACCCGCGCCGUAUUAGCUAGUUGGUAAGGUAACGGCUUACCAAGGCGACGAUACGUAGCCGACCUGAGAGGUGGACCGACCCCACGGGAAUGGAGCACGGGACCGCCUCCCGCGGGGGGGAAGCAGGGGGAAAUCGUCAGAAGGGGGCGAAGCCCUGACGGGUCAACGCGGCGGGAGGAAUGAGGGGUUCGGGCUCUAAAAACUGUUUUAUAGGGAAAAAAAAAAUGUAAAAGUAAUGGUCCACGUCUGGGGGGGCCUAAAGGAAAAAGCCGCGGCUAACUGCGU